UACAGAGGUCUCAAGCGUUGUUCGGAUUCAUUGGGCGUAAAGGGUGCGUAGGUGGCGCUGUAAGUCAGGUGUGAAAUUUCGGAGCUUAACUCCGAAACUGCAUUUGAUACUGCGGUGCUUGAGGACUGGAGAGGAGACUGGAAUUCAUGGUGUAGCAGUGAAAUGCGUAGAUAUCGUAAGGAAGACCAGUGGCGAAGGCGGGUCUCUGGACAGUUCCUGACGCUGAGGCACGAAGGCCAGGGGAGCAAACGGG
rnacentral:rRNA from 1 species